GACGAACGCUGGCGGCGUGCUUAACACAUGCAAGUCGAACGGAAAGGCCCUGCUUUUGUGGGGUGCUCGAGUGGCGAACAGGUGAGUAACACGUGAGUAACCUGCCCUUGACUUUGGGAUAACUUCAGGAAACUGGGGCUAAUACCGGAUAGGAGCUCCUGCUGCAUGGUGGGGGUUGGAAAGUUUCGGCGGUUGGGGAUGUACUCGCGGCUUAUCAGCUUGUUGGUGGGGUAGUGGCUUACCAAGGCUUUGACGGGUAGCCGGCCUGAGAGGGUGACCGGCCACAUUGGGACUGAGAUACGGCCCAGACUACUACGGGAGGCAGGAGUGGGGAAUAGUGCACAAUGGGCGGAAGCCAGAUGCAGCAACGCCGCGUGCGGGAUGACGGCCUUCGGGUUGUAAACCGCUUUCGCCUGUGACGAAGCGUGAGUGACGGUAAUGGGUAAAGAAGCACCGGCUAACUACGUG
rnacentral:rRNA from 1 species